rnacentral:rRNA from 1 species
GACGAACGCUGGCGGUGUGCUUAACACAUGCAAGUCGAACGGUAAGGCCCUUUCGGGGGUACACGAGUGGCGAACGGGUGCGUAACACGUGAGUAACCUGCCCUCAUCUCUGGGAUAACAGUCGGAAACGGUUGCUAAUACUGGAUAUGAGCUUGCAAGGCAUCUUGAGGGUUGGAAAGAUUUUUUUUGGUUGGGGAUGGACUCGCGGCCUAUCCGCUUGUUGGUGAGGUAGUGGCUCACCAAGGCUUCGCCGGGUAGCCGGCCUGAGAGGGCGACCGGCCACAUUGGGACUGAGAUACGGCCCAAACUCCUACGGGAGGCAGCAGUGGGGAAUAUUGCACAAUGGACGGAAGUCUGAUGCAGCAGCGCCGCGUGCGGGAUGACGGCCUUCGGGUUGUAAACCGCUUUCAAUUGUGACGAAGCUUUUUUGUGACGGUAGCAGUAGAAGAAGCACCGGCUAACUACGU